GAAGCCAACGCGGAAGACCUUUACCUGGUCUUGACCAUCCACAAAAUUUCCCAAGGAUGAUUUGGGCCUUUGGGAAAUUGUGCACCGGGUGCGCCAUGGCGUUGUUCAGUUGUUUUUUGAAAAUUUUGGGUUAAUUCCGUCAAGAAGCCCAACCUUUAUCCUAGGUACCCACCCGUUAGGCCGGGCACUCUAAGGAGACUGCCAGUGACAAACCGGAGGAAGGUGGGGAUGACGUCAAGUCAUCAUGGCCCUUACGGCCAGGUCUACACACGUGCUACAAUGGCAUAUACAGAGAGAAGCCAACUCGCGAGAGCAAGCUGAUCUCACAAAAGUAGGUCGUAGUCCGGAUUGCAGUCUGCAACUCGACUGCGUGAAGUCGGAAUCGCUAGUAAUCGUGGAUCAGAAUGUUGCGGUGAAUACGUUCCCGGGCCUUGUACACACCGCCC
rnacentral:rRNA from 1 species